AUGGUCCCCUAUGGCUUCAAUAACCAGAACAAGCACUGCCUUCGGCGGCUGGGGAAACGGUACCACUUCCAGGUCCAGGACCUACGCCCAGAGGAUGCUGGCCUUUACCAGGUCAAGGUGGAGGACACUGUGGUCUUCUCCACAGAACUGGAGCCUGGUGCCAUCCCCCCCAGAGUUGUGGUUCCGCUGGCCGAGGCCCACUGUGAGGAGCAGGGAGAUGCAAUAUUUGAAUGUACUCUUUCCAAACCCUGCCCCAAUGCUACUUGGUAUUUCCAGCACCGGCCACUCAGGCUCAGUGACAAAUAUGAAGCAAUUGUGUCACCUGAUGGGCUAACCCAUCGGCUGCUGGUGAGGGGGGCCCACCUCUCAGACAGGGGCCUCUAUUCGCUGGGCACAGGGCUCCAUGCCUCCAGUGCCUGGCUGGUGGUUGAAGGUAAGUGUCACACCCUUGUCUUUCCACUGGCUUCCCAAGGCAAGGCCUCAGGGCUGAGGCAGUGGGGUUUCCCUGUGGUCAGUCAUUUGCUCUUUUAUUAUUUUAUUUUUUUGCUGUACCGGGGAUCGAACUCUGGUCCUUGCGCUUGCAAGGCACGCAGGGGAACCACUGAGCUAGAUUCCUACCCCCGUGGCCCCCUUAUUUUUAAAUUUGCUCUUUUUUUUUUUUUUUUUUUUGGUACUGGGGAUCGAACUUGGGUCCUUGCACUUAUGCAGCAGGUGGCGAAACCACUGAGCUAAAUCCCUGGCCCUGUCAUCUGUUUUUAAAUAAAUCCUUACUCAGAGAGAACAGGAGGGCUCCUAGCUCCAGACCUGAUCCACUUCAAUGCAGUCUGCGUAGCCAACCAGACCUUCCCAGGUACAUCUGGGCCACUGGGCCUCCUGGAGCUACUCUGGGGUCAUAGAUCCAAAUGGCCCAAGGGUUCUGAACAGGGCUUGGGACCAGAGAGCACCCUUGAACCUCCCUGGGGACUGGAAUCUGGGUUCAGUAUGAACCCAGGAAACUAUAAAUGUAAGGCUGGCAGUAGGGCAAGUGGACCUUUUAAAAACCAUGAAACUGCCGAUGGCAGUUUGGUAAGCAAAUGACUUUUGGCUUAUGCAGUUAUGGGUCAAGAUACUCAAGAAUCAGCUAGGUAUUGUGGCACACACCUGUAACCCCAGAUACCCUGGAGGCAGAGAUAAGAGGAUCUUAAAUUAGAGGUCAACCAGGACAAUUUAGUGAGACUCUUUGUCUCAAAAUUGAAAUAAGGGCUGAGGAUGGAGCUCAGUGAAAACAUCCUCUGAGUUCAAUCCCUAUACUGCAAAAUCCCCAAACAAACAAAAAACCCCACCAAAACUCAUGAACCAUGUAGCAGGUAGAGUGGGAUUGGGGGAAAUAAUGGUGGGAUGUAUCGACCAGUCCCCUGGAACAUCCUGGCUUCCUUCCUAGAUGGUCAGCUUGCUUCUCUACUGGGGAAACUGUGGGUCAGAUAAAGCAGUCCGGUCAGGCAGUUGCCUUGGCCUGAUUUAACAGGGUUCUGGUCUUUUUUCUUGUCUGUCUAUGGGGGCAUUGACCUCCACGUAAAUAACACCUCAUCGAAGCUGGGAAGGAGAAAGGCCUUCAGACCACAAGUGCUGACUGCCAGCUGCAGACACAAGGAGCUCAGGCCUCAGAUGCAGAAGACUCCGAGGGCAUCAGUGGCAAGGGAGG
rnacentral:lncRNA from 1 species